UACGUAGGGUGCGAGCGUUAAUCGGAAUUACUGGGCGUAAAGCGUGCGCAGGCGGUUGUGCAAGACAGAGGUGAAAUCCCCGGGCUUAACCUGGGAACCGCAUUUGUGACUGCAUAGCUGGAGUACGGCAGAGGGGGAUGGAAUUCCGCGUGUAGCAGUGAAAUGCGUAGAUAUGCGGAGGAACACCGAUGGCGAAGGCAGUCCCCUGGGCCUGUACUGACGCUCAUGCACGAAAGCGUGGGGAGCAAACAGG
rnacentral:rRNA from 1 species